UGGUUUUUGGAAAGUACUCGGUCAGAAAACAGACUUUUGAAGAAGGAGUUUGUAUUUUUAGAGGAGCAUUCAUUAGUGAAAAAAAUAAUAUAUGAAGAAAACGAAGAAGUGGAGGUGUUGGUUGAAGAAAAGAAUCAAAAUAAACAGAUGUAAAAAUUAAGUCGAUUGAAUAAAAGAAGAAAUACUAAUGAUAGAUUUACAUACAAAAGUGAAUCGGAUGAUGAUGAUAAAGAAACGACUAAAUGUUUCGAUGUUUUUGUGGAUUUUUUCCGCAGAUUUCCAUUAAUCAUCUGCUCUUGUUUCAAAAAAAAAAGUAAAAUGGCGGAAUGUACAUCAUCGUCUACAUUUUAAUCGUUACAUUCCGUUUACCUAAAAAAAACAACAAAAAAAAGUUAUACUUUUUUCAAUAUUAUUAGAAAAAUUUAUUGUUCUUACAAUUAUAAGGAAGGCACAUUACAAACUUAUUGAGUCCAAAUAUCUGGUGUGCAACUUUCAUCGGCAGGCGCCAUCAUAUAAUCUGCUCUAUACUUUCGGCCGAAUUAUUAAUGCUUAAUAAAAACAGAGCGAAAAAUAAUUUCUAAUGCAUUCCUGGAGAUGUCAUUAAAAUGUUAUCGAAGGUUAUCAGAGGAAUGUAAGCGCAGGUUAUCAGAGGAAUUGUCACGGUGUCCCUUCGUGGAGACAUAAUCACCGUACUUGUCUCUGCGAGGAAAAAAGCGAAAGACAUAAGAAGGAAUUGGCAAGGUGUUCCUGCGUGGAGACAUAAUCACCGUACUUGUCUCUGCAAGGGAAGAAACCAACAUAGUGGAAAUUGAAAUAGUAAAACAGAAAUCUGUUAGCCUUCAAUAAUAGUUCGAUUAAGUAACAAAAUAAUGAAUCGUGGCAUGAGAAAUGCUAUUUUUUCACAAAGAUAAAAGCUUCUUUUUAAUAAAAUGUAUAAGGCAUCAGCAAAAUUUAUUUUGAAUGAAACAAAGAGUUACUUCCAUUUGAUCUGAAAGAAUGGAAUUUUUGUUUAAAUUUGAGAAAUAGAAAAUUGGAAUGCACACCUUUUAA